rnacentral:lncRNA from 1 species
CUCAGUUGUGUCUGUGCUUCCCGGCGGGUUCAGUCCCGGGGAUCUGUUUCCGUUUUUUGUUUGUUCUCCCCCCCUUGGUUCUCCCAGCUUCCCUUUUAUAGGAGGGGAUUACGUUACCUGGGAGGUAACCGGAGGAUUUGUCCCUGUCUGUGAUAAUUGGGCACGAUUUGGCCCAUUUAUGGCAUAGUGGAGAACAGGGCCGAAUCAGACCGGAAUCAGGGAGUUGUCACGGUCGAUCGGACCUGUUGGAGUGGUUGAACCGCCGGCCGUAGCGGGCCUGGGGUCUGUGGAUGGUAAGUGCAUUUAUUACCGAAUGAACCGGCGGUCAGGUAGAGCCAUGCGCUCUGACGGUUCAGUGAUCCGGAGAUCGUCUUGGGCCGUGUUCAUUAAAUGCCUGAGUGCAUCGGAGACUUGAN